UACGAAGGGGGCGAGCGUUGUUCGGAUUCACUGGGCGUAAAGGGUGCGCAGGCGGUCGGGUGUGUCAGAUGUGAAAUCCCGAGGCUCAACCUCGGAACUGCGUCUGAAACUACUCGACUAGAGUACUGGAGAGGGUAACGGAAUUCACGGUGUAGCAGUGAAAUGCGUAGAUAUCGUGAGGAACACCAGAGGCGAAGGCGGUUACCUGGACAGUUACUGACGCUCAGGCACGAAAGCAUGGGGAGCAAAAGGG
rnacentral:rRNA from 1 species